ACAACGGCUCUUUUCAGAGCCACUCACGCACUCUGAGAGGAACAUG
rfam:Takifugu rubripes genomic scaffold, scaffold_708